GUACUCGCUUCGGCGGUACAUAUACUAAAAUUGGAACGAUACAGAGAAGAUUAGCAUGGCCCCUGCGCAAGUAUAACAAAAAAAAGGGUAGCGUCUUUGACUCAU